rnacentral:rRNA from 1 species
GACGAAGGGGGCAAGCGUUGUUCGGAAUUACUGGGCGUAAAGCGAGUGUAGGUGGUUGUCAUAGUCAGGUGUGAAAGCCUUGAGCUCAACUCAAGAAAUGCACUUGAUACUGGGCGACUAGAGGACCGGAGAGGAUAGUGGAAUUCCCAGUGUAGUGGUGAAAUACGUAGAGAUUGGGAAGAACACCAGUGGCGAAGGCGGCUAUCUGGACGGUUUCUGACACUAAGACUCGAAAGCGUGGGGAGCAAACAGG